rnacentral:tRNA from 1 species
ACAUAGAUAGCUCAGUCAGUAGAGCAUGAGACUCUUAAUCUCUGGGUUGUGGGUUUGAACCCUACAUUGGGCA